rnacentral:tRNA from 1 species
GCCGGGGUGGCCGAGACAAAAGCGGAAAUGGCUAAGGCGGCGGAUUGCAGAUCCGCUUUACCGUGGGUUCAAAUCCCACCCCCGGCUCCA